rnacentral:rRNA from 1 species
GACGAACGCUGGCGGCGUGCCUAACACAUGCAAGUCGAGCGGAGCCAAUUAAAAGAUCCCUUCGGGGUGAUUUUGAGGAAGCUUAGCGGCGGACGGGUGAGUAACGCAUGAGUAACCUGCCCAUAAGAGUGGGAUAACACAGAGAAAUUUGUGCUAAUACCGCAUAUUGAAUUGAAAUCGCAUGGUUUUAAUUUGAAAGAUUUAUCGCGUAUGGAUGGACUCGCGUCUGACUAGAUAGUUGGUGAGGUAACGGCUCACCAAGUCGACGAUCAGUAGCCGAACUGAGAGGUUGAUCGGCCACAUUGGGACUGAGACACGGCCCAGACUCCUACGGGAGGCAGCAGUGGGGGAUAUUGCGCAAUGGGGGAAACCCUGACGCAGCAACGCCGCGUGAAGGAUGAAGGCCUUCGGGUUGUAAACUUCUGUUCUUAGGGAAGAAGACAGUGACGGUACCUAAGGAGCAAGUCACGGCUAACUACGUGCCAGCAGCCGCCGUAAGAC